rnacentral:lncRNA from 1 species
UAUUACAAAUCAUAAUCCAUUUAACUUUUUUACGUACCAACAGGAUAUGAAGUCAGCAAAAGUUAUGUGCUUUCCCAGCUGAAACAAGGAAAAGUGUGGAGAAAAGGAAUAGGAUUUUUUCAACAUCAGAGUCCAGGAAAAGUGUACUAAGCUCCAAACUUUAAUAUUUGUCAGAUGAGAAAUUUAAAGAUUUCACUGAAAAUGAAACAAUAUCUGUAUAAAGUCUGAGAUGGAAAAUAGUAAUAUUCAAGAACUAAAAGCUGUAUAGAAAGUGUUCACUGUGAAAUACUGCUUCUUUUCAUGUAUUUUUCAAGUACUUUAGAGGUAAGAAA